rnacentral:misc_RNA from 1 species
GAAGAAGAACGCAGCGAAAUGCGAUAAGUAAUGUGAAUUGCAGAAUUCAGUGAAUCAUCGAAUCUUUGAACGCACAUUGCGCCCCCUGGUAUUCCGGGGGGCAUGCCUGUUCGAGCGUCAUUUCACCACUCAAGCCUCGCUUGGUAUUGGGCAACGCGGUCCGCCGCGUGCCUCAAAUCGACCGGCUGGGUCUUCUGUCCCCUAAGCGUUGUGGAAACUAUUCGCUAAAGGGUGUUCGGGAGGCUACGCCGUAAAACAACCCCAUUUCUAAGGUUGACCUCGGAUCAGGUAGGGAUACCCGCUGAACUUAAGCAUAUCAAUAAGCGGAGGA